rfam:Macleaya cordata isolate BLH2017 scaffold7821, whole genome shotgun sequence.
GUCAAGAUGGCCGAGUUGUUCUAAGGCGCCAGUUUCAGGUACUGGUCCGAAAGGGCAUUGGUUCGAAUCCCAUUCUUUACA